rnacentral:tRNA from 1 species
ACAUGUGUGGCUUAGUGGUAAGGCGCUAAAAUUAUUUGUGAUAGGUUAAGGGUUCAAUUCCUUCCACUUGUA